CGCAGUUCUUGGGUGACACACCCCAGAAUCGGGCUCCCUCCUCUCUGGUCGGGUACAUCAUCACCCAAGAACCACC
rfam:Myotis brandtii contig241031, whole genome shotgun sequence.